UACGGAGGGUGCAAGCGUUAUCCGGAAUCACUGGGUUUAAAGGGUGCGUAGGCGGCUUGAUAAGUCAGAGGUGAAAGUUUGCAGCUUAACUGUAAAAUUGCCUUUGAAACUGUUGAGCUUGAAUAGCGUUGAGGUCAGCGGAAUGUGACAUGUAGCGGUGAAAUGCAUAGAUAUGUCAUAGAACACCAAUUGCGAAGGCAGCUGGCUGGGCGUUUAUUGGCGCUGAGGCACGAAAGCGUGGGGAGCGAACAGGAUUAGAUACCCGUGUAGUCC
rnacentral:rRNA from 1 species